rnacentral:rRNA from 1 species
UUUCCCUCAGGAUAGCUGGCACUCGCUCGAACGAGUCUCAUCUGGUAAAGCGAAUGAUUAGAGGCCUUGGGGCCGAAACGACCUCAACCUAUUCUCAAACUUUAAAUGGGUGAGAUCUCUGGCUUGCUUGAACUAUGAAGCCACGAGACAUUCGGCAAUGGAUCAGAGUGCCAAGUGGGCCAAUUUUGGUAAGCAGAACUGGCGCUGUGGGA